rnacentral:rRNA from 1 species
GAUGAACGCUGGCGGCGUGCUUAACACAUGCAAGUCGAACGAAGCACUUUAUUUGAUUUCCUUCGGGACUGAUUAUUUUGUGACUGAGUGGCGGACGGGUGAGUAACGCGUGGGUAACCUGCCUUGUACAGGGGGAUAACAGUUGGAAACGGCUGCUAAUACCGCAUAAGCGCACGGCAUCGCAUGAUGCAGUGUGAAAAACUCCGGUGGUAUAAGAUGGACCCGCGUUGGAUUAGCUGGUUGGUGAGGUAACGGCUCACCAAGGCGACGAUCCAUAGCCGACCUGAGAGGGUGACCGGCCACAUUGGGACUGAGACACGGCCCAAACUCCUACGGGAGGCAGCAGUGGGGAAUAUUGCACAAUGGGCGAAAGCCUGAUGCAGCGACGCCGCGUGAGCGAAGAAGUAUUUCGGUAUGUAAAGCUCUAUCAGCAGGGAAGAUAAAUGACGGUACCUGACUAAGAAGCACCGGCUAAAUACGUGCCAGCAG